rnacentral:lncRNA from 1 species
GGCUCUUGGUUUCUGUGUGCAUUUCCAGAAGCCUGCAGGGCUCCUAGGAGAAUAUGUUUGCCAUUUCUGAUGGGGAUAUCCCAGCUUCCCAUUUGCACUGGACAUCGCUCUAUAACCUCGUAAAUCCGUUCCUGCAUAAACACAGAUGCAGUAAUGUAUACAGGCACAUAAAUUGGACACAUAUCUAUAAAUAUCAAAGGAAAGAAGGAAGCAACUGCUCACACACAUACGACCCCAAGUUACAAGAGUGGCACCAGUGACCACCCUGCUGAUACCCAGAACUUGGAUUGUACAAAGGUGGUACUCCCAGAAGAAUGAGUCAGGGACCACAUUCACCAUUGAGAAGCCCAGGGUGAAGAAGGACCAACUGGCUCCACAGGUGGUGACUGUCUUCUACUUGAUAUCUCUCUCCUUCUCUUCUCUCUCCCCCUCUUUCCUACUUCUUUCUCUCUAC